GAUUUUGUAUCGUACAAUCUAUCGAAAAAAAACACAAAGGUGCACGAAGUGGAUCUGCACAGAAAGAAAACAUUGAUUUUGAGCAAACUCCAACAAAAGCCACAAAGCAAAAGAUAGUACUUUGCCUCUUUCUGACAAAUCACACAUGAAUUCACCUGGGUAUUCUCUCAAACAAAAUUUUGCGACAGCAUGAGCGUUAACGAAUUAAAAUACACCGUACUACAACAUAAUUAACAAGGAGCCGAUGAAUACGAAGUUGUCUGGGGUCGCAAUGCUCCAAAAAAAGCUUUACACUACGUGUUCAGUCUAAGUGUUCUAGGGUUAGUGGUAUAAUUAUGUAUGCAUGUUGGUAUGUACUAUAUACAUACAGACAGUCAAGGCAAAAAGUCAUCAUAUACCACCCAUAUUUCGAUAUUUCGGAUUUUCUCAACGAAAAUUUAAAAGUGGGACACGCACACUGUUCUAGCUAACCCUUUCCUCUUUCCAAGAAAACGGUGUUUCCGGAAGACCUGGUCAAAAACUGAUGUGUUGGUCUUUCAACUUCCGUCAUUAAAAUAUCCAGAUGACACGCAGCAGUACUUCAUCAAAGCAACUCUGGAUGUCAACACAGCUCGCUGGGGUAUGAUACUUGAGGAUUUGUCUCUGUAUAAUAUCCAUAAAUAAAUAAUAAAUACCUAAAACAAAUAGUAAAGAGCUACUUAAGAGCUGCCAGGAUAUUCGCAUUGACUUUGUUUUAAAUAUACAAUUUUCCGCGGAAUACAAAUAUCGGAACUCGACACUUAUGCCUUGUUCCGUUCGCCUUCAUAUGACCACUAACCAGAGAGCACAUAGACUCAACAUGUA
rnacentral:sRNA from 1 species